GGUGGAUAUUCUUUCUCCACGUCCUUCGUCUUCCAUCUUCCUUUUCGUGGAUAAGAUUUGCCAUUACUUCUGAAUCGUGAAAAAACAGGAGAAGAACUGGAGUUUCGAUUCGAAGAAGCUGAAAAUGGAAGUGGGUUUGUCUCUAAAUGCACUGGUUAGGCUUCCCUUAUCAAACUCCUCAAGAACACAUGAAGAUGGGCUGGCUAAGCACUCACUGUUCUCUACUAGAACAUCACAAAAACCUCUUCAGAGGCAAACAGGGCACUCUUUAUUGGUAGUUAAAGCUAAAGGAAAGAAAGGAAUGCAAGCACGUCAGUUUCAAAGGCCUCCAACACCGUCCCUGCCCAAGAUUGAAGAUGAUGGCAAUCCCAAAUUUGUUAUCUUCAUUCGCAUGGCUAAUGUUUAUCUUUGGUACCCAUUAAGUCUUGUAACGGGUGGCACAACUGCUAAAAUCAUGGUUGCUGCGAAAGAUAAUUUUCUGGGAAAAUAUAUCUACAAAGACACACUCGCUAGAAAUCUUGCAGCAGUUAUUUACAGAGAUGAGAAGGAGAUACAGAAGACAGCAUUUAAACAAUAUCGUGUAUUGCAGUCAGCGACUGAGUUCAGAUACGGUUACAAACUUGUUGAAAACGGUAAUGUGAGGGCUGCCCUUUCUACCACAGAUGUGAUUGAGCUUCCAACACAAGACCAACUCAAAACAGUAGUUGAUAAAGUGAAAGACUUCUUUGGCGAUGCAAAAGACUCUUUUGGAAAGCUUACUGCUCUAAAUUCAACUGCAACUGAGGAAGCAGAGGAAGUUCCCAAAGAAAAGGCCAAAGUUAAAGGCAGAAGGUGAAGGGGCCUUACGCUUGACAAUGUCAAAGGAGAUUGCUUCUGUGAAAUGAAGCUUCACAGUGCGUACAAAGUCAGACAGUGAGGCAGCAUGAGCCACAAAUAUACUGCAUGGUUUGGUUUAUAGAUUUUCUAUCUUCAAACCAGAAUUUACAUAACCUUUUUCAUAGCCCUUUCUACGCAUGUAUGAAAUAUGUCAUGCUUGAAUUUGUUUGAAUCAAUAAAUUUUGUUAUGUUUUUUUCCGCAUCA
rnacentral:misc_RNA from 1 species